GGUGAGACCAUUGAGUGGUGAUUGGGUCAUGAGGGCAGAGCUCUUAUGAAUGGAUUAAUGCUAUUAUUGAGAGAGUGGGGGCCCUUGUGCCUCUGAGUUCUGAGAAGCAAACUUCUAAGGAUGGGGAACAAUGAGGUUGGUUCUGACUGUUUUGAGAUAGUGAGGUAAUGCUGAUUCUGCAAGUGCUGGAAAAAAUGCCAGCUAGAUUAAGGUGCUGCUAAAGUGAUAUGGCAGAGCAUAACUGCUGGCCACUACAGACUGAGAGGUCAGGAAAGACAUCACCUCUAUGAUUAGGUGAUAUCUGAGCACAGAGCUGAAGAACAAGGAAUCAGCUUUUAAUAUCAGCCACAUUAAAAUCUGAGAUCAAAAGCACUGAUGGACAUCAGUAUUUGGUACCCUCUUUUUCUGGGAAGAGCUCAGCUGUUUUAAGUAUUUAGAGUCAGAGGAAGUUGCUUGAGAGUCCCUCAUUGUACAUCCGUCUUUCAAGUAUUUUACCGGGAUCACAGCAUAAUUGAUAUUUCAAUACAUGCUGGUAAGUCACCACAUUCAGAUACUUUUCUUUCUUGAAUAUU
rnacentral:lncRNA from 1 species